rnacentral:rRNA from 1 species
UUAAGUGAAUAAGGGCGCACGGUGGAUGCCUUGGCACUAGGAGCCGAUGAAGGACGGGACUAACACCGAUAUGCUUUGGGGAGCUGUACGUAAGCUAUGAUCCAGAGAUUUCCGAAUGGGGGAACCCAACAUCUUUAAUAGGAUGUUACGAUUGUGUGAAUACAUAGCACAUUCGAGGUAGACGCAGAGAACUGAAACAUCUAAGUACCUGCAGGAAGAGAAAGAAAAUUCGAUUCCCUGAGUAGCGGCGAGCGAAACGGGAAAAGCCCAAACCAACAAGCUUGCUUGUUGGGGUUGUAGGACUCCAAUAUGGUAGUUCUUUCAGAUAGUCGAAUGACUUGGAAAAGUCAGUCAAAGAGGGUAAAAACCCCGUAGACGAAAUGUGGAAGACACCUAGGAGGAUCCUGAGUACGGCGGAACACGAGAAAUUCCGUCGGAAUCCGGGAGGACCAUCUCCCAAGGCUAAAUACUCCCUAGUGACCGAUAGUGAACCAGUACCGUGAGGGAAAGGUGAAAAGCACCCCGGAAGGGGAGUGAAAUAGAACCUGAAACCGUGUGCCUACAACAAGUCAAAGCCCGUUAAUGGGUGAUGGCGUGCCUUUUGUAGAAUGAACCGGCGAGUUACGAUUGCAUGCGAGGUUAAGUUGAAGAGACGGAGCCGCAGCGAAAGCGAGUCUGAAUAGGGCGUUUGAGUAUGUAGUCGUAGACCCGAAACCAUGUGAUCUACCCAUGUCCAGGUUGAAGGUGCGGUAAAACGCACUGGAGGACCGAACCCACGUACGUUGAAAAGUGCGGGGAUGAGGUGUGGGUAGCGGAGAAAUUCCAAACGAACUUGGAGAUAGCUGGUUCUCUCCGAAAUAGCUUUAGGGCUAGCCUCGGAAUUGAGAAUGAUGGAGGUAGAGCACUGUUUGGACUAGGGGCCCAUCUCGGGUUACCGAAUUCAGAUAAACUCCGAAUGCCAUUCAUUCAUAUCCGGGAGUCAGACUGUGAGUGAUAAGAUCCAUAGUCGAAAGGGAAACAGCCCAGACCACCAGCUAAGGUCCCAAAAUAUAUGUUAAGUGGAAAAGGAUGUGGGGUUGCACAGACAACUAGGAUGUUGGCUUAGAAGCAGCCACCAUUUAAAGAGUGCGUAAUAGCUCACUAGUCGAGUGACCCUGCGCCGAAAAUGUACCGGGGCUAAACAUAUUACCGAAGCUGUGGAGUACACCUUUAGGUGUAUUGGUAGGAGAGCGUUCUAAGGGCGUUGAAGGCAGAUCGUGAGGACUGCUGGAGCGCUUAGAAGUGAGAAUGCCGGUAUGAGUAGCGAAAGACAGGUGAGAAUCCUGUCCACCGAAUGACUAAGGUUUCCUGGGGAAGGCUCGUCCGCCCAGGGUUAGUCGGGACCUAAGCCGAGGCCGACAGGCGUAGGCGAUGGAUAACAGGUUGAUAUUCCUGUACCCGUUGUUUUUGUUUGAGCAAUGGAGGGACGCAGGAGGCUAAGGAAUGCAGACGAUCGGAAAUGUCUGUCCAAGCAGUAAGUCUGAAGAGGAGUCAAAUGCUUCUUUUCUUAAGGACAAGCUGUGAUGGGGAGGGAAAUAAUAGUACCGAAGUUCCUGAUGUCACACUGCCGAGAAAAGCUUCUAGUGAGAAAACAGCGGCCCGUACCGCAAACCGACACAGGUAGUCGAGGAGAGAAUCCUAAGGUGAGCGAGAGAACUCUCGUUAAGGAACUCGGCAAAAUGACCCCGUAACUUCGGGAGAAGGGGUGCUGAUCAUACGAUCAGCCGCAGUGAAUAGGCCCAAGCGACUGUUUAUCAAAAACACAGGUCUCUGCAAAAUCGUAAGAUGAAGUAUAGGGGCUGACGCCUGCCCGGUGCUGGAAGGUUAAGAGGAGUGCUUAGCGCAAGCGAAGGUACGAAUUGAAGCCCCAGUAAACGGCGGCCGUAACUAUAACGGUCCUAAGGUAGCGAAAUUCCUUGUCGGGUAAGUUCCGACCCGCACGAAAGGCGUAACGAUUUGGGCACUGUCUCAACGAGAAACUCGGUGAAAUUUUAGUACCUGUGAAGAUGCAGGUUACCCGCGACAGGACGGAAAGACCCCAUGGAGCUUUACUGUAGUUUGAUAUUGAGUGUCUGUACCGCAUGUACAGGAUAGGUAGGAGCCGUAGAAAUCGGAACGCUAGUUUCGAUGGAGGCGCUGGUGGGAUACUACCCCUGCGUUAUGGCCACUCUAACCCGCACCACUAAUCGUGGUGGGAGACAGUGUCAGAUGGGCAGUUUGACUGGGGCGGUCGCCUCCUAAAAGGUAACGGAGGCGCCCAAAGGUUCCCUCAGAAUGGUUGGAAAUCAUUCGAAGAGUGUAAAGGCAGAAGGGAGCUUGACUGCGAGACCAACAAGUCGAGCAGGGACGAAAGUCGGGCUUAGUGAUCCGGUGGUUCCGCAUGGAAGGGCCAUCGCUCAACGGAUAAAAGCUACCCUGGGGAUAACAGGCUUAUCUCCCCCAAGAGUCCACAUCGACGGGGAGGUUUGGCACCUCGAUGUCGGCUCGUCGCAUCCUGGGGCUGUAGUCGGUCCCAAGGG